UGGAGGAGUGAUUUGUCUGCUUAAUUGCGAUAACGAACGAGACCUUAACCUGCUAAAUAGCCAGGCUAGCUUUGGCUGGUCGCCGGCUUCUUAGAGGGACUAUCGGCUCAAGCCGAUGGAAGUUUGAGGCAAUAACA
rnacentral:rRNA from 1 species